UUGCGAGUCAGGGGAAAUGCAGUUCAGUGCCAUAAUAACGUUACAUUUUAAUAUGAACUUACCCUGCAGGACAAAGUUGCAAGCCAGAUUUGAAAUUUGGUGCUUAGAGAAUUACAGUUCAUUUGGCAGUACUCCAGCUUCUAUAAACUUGGCAAGACUUACAGAAGCAAGUGCUGAAAAAUGUCAGAUGAUGAAGGUCUGUGACCUGGAUGCAUUUUCCGUGCCUUAUGAAAAUUCAAGUGAGCUCCAUGUGACCCCAAGGGAGCCCAGGUAAACACUGCACAGCUCAAAGCUGUGCUGCUCAGAUGCUCAUCUGCACUCCCUUAGCCACCUGGGGAUGUUCUUAAACAGAAGACACGGAUCCAGGAGGUCUGAAGGAGACCCCCAUUCAGAUUCCGAGUUCCUGACAAGCCUUGGUAGGGCCAGUGCUGCGAGAUCACAGACCUGGUAGUCUCACCUCAGGUGGAAGGUAAUGACAAGUCAGACUACAGACUUGGGGUAUGUUAAUGGGCUUGGACUGCUUUAAUCA
rnacentral:lncRNA from 1 species